GUAACAAGGUCUCCGUUGGUGAACCAGCGGAGGGAUCAUUACCGAGUUUACAACUCCCAAACCCCUGUGAACAUACCAAUUGUUGCCUCGGCGGAUCAGCCCGCUCCCGGUAAAACGGGACGGCCCGCCAGAGGACCCCUAAACUCUGUUUCUAUAUGUAACUUCUGAGUAAAACCAUAAAUAAAUCAAAACUUUCAACAACGGAUCUCUUGGUUCUGGCAUCGAUGAAGAACGCAGCAAAAUGCGAUAAGUAAUGUGAAUUGCAGAAUUCAGUGAAUCAUCGAAUCUUUGAACGCACAUUGCGCCCGCCAGUAUUCUGGCGGGCAUGCCUGUUCGAGCGUCAUUUCAACCCUCAAGCCCCCGGGUUUGGUGUUGGGGAUCGGCGAGCCCUUGCGGCAAGCCGGCCCCGAAAUCUAGUGGCGGUCUCGCUGCAGCUUCCAUUGCGUAGUAGUAAAACCCUCGCAACUGGUACGCGGCGCGGCCAAGCCGUUAAACCCCCAACUUCUGAAUGUUGACCUCGGAUCAGGUAGGAAUACCCGCUGAACUUAAGCAUAUCA
rnacentral:misc_RNA from 1 species